rnacentral:rRNA from 1 species
CCCUUAGAUGUUCUGGGCCGCACGCGCGCUACACUGAUGCAUUCAACGAGUGUACCUUGGCCGAGAGGCCUGGGCAAUCUUUUGAACGUGCAUCGUGAUAGGGAUAGAUUAUUGCAAUUAUUAAUCUUGAACGAGGAAUCCCUAGUAAACGCAGUUCAUCAAACUGCAUUGAUUACGUCCCUGCCCUUUGUACACACCGCCCGUCGCGCCUACCGAUUGGAUGGUCCGGUGAAGCCUCGGGAUUGUGGCGGUUGCCUUUAUUGGUGGCCGCCGCGAGAACUUGUCUAAACCUUAUCAUCUAGAGGAAGGUGAAGUCGUAACA